GAAAAUUUACAUCAUGAAAGGAUGUUGAAUUUUAACAAAGGCUUUUCCUGCAUCUAUGGACAUAUCCUUGCACAAAAUAGGUCCUCCUCACUGAUAUGGUUGCCCUCUAUGAAGAUUAGAGACAGGACGAAUAUAAUGAUGUCGAUUUUGAGAGUGAUUCAUUCAUCAUUGUCAUCUACUAUCCCAUUGUACGUAAGACCCAAAAUGGGUAUUAGCUGAUAUGUGUUGCCAGCGUGAUUCAGUUUCCUGAUUUUAAUGCCAAAGCCCAGAUGUAUGGACUCACAGAGUUUCCAAAAGUUCAGAGGGAAGUCCUUAUGGUAAUCAUGGGGCAGAACAUGCAGCAUUUCUUUCAUGGUGACCUGCUCCUUCUUUUGAUACUUGUGCAGCAGAAAUGACACUAACUUGCAUAACUUGGCAUUUAGAAGCACAUUUUGCAGAAUGUGAGAGAAGCGUGUGUCCUGUGAGGAGCUUGAACCCUCACCGGAUUGACUCCUUUGACUGGAAGCCAUGAGGACAGCAAGAACUCUAUGACUCAGAAGCCUUCAAAUCUCCACUGCUGGAAAGUUGAGUGCUGAGCAAUAGCAAUUCAGCUGCUCCAAGACUCCAGACCCAGAUUUUGAAAAAUCACAACUGAGAAUUCUCCACUGCACAGUUCAAGGCUAGCAACAGAGGCAGGAAUGGGUUAUUUUCAAAGUCUCAACCUGGAAUGUGGCCUUCUAUCUCACCCUGAGCUGUAAUUAGCUUUUAUACAAAGUUCUGAGGAUUCUACUCAAUGACUGAUGUGUUAUGAUAUCAUUCUAUUUUGGCUGGUUGGAACAUGAACUGUUCUUACCUUUGUAGGAAGGAUUUUCAAUCCAUUUUCUAGGAUAUUCCCCAGCUUUUGUGGGUUGCUUCUUGUGUCUGUAGCGAUAUAUAUUCAGCCAAAGACUCAAGGAACCUCUCUGCAGAUCUCCAGAGCUCUUUAAUUUCUUGUUUAUAAAUUGAUUUUUUUAUUUGUAAGUUUUUGCAAUAUUUAAUGAUUACAUUCUUCAUGGAGGAGUUUGUACAUAUGUAUAGGAUAUUUUAAUUCUUUUCUUUUUUCAACCCCUUCUUCUUCCUUCUUUCCCCCUUCCUCUACUUCUUG
rnacentral:lncRNA from 1 species